AUUGAACGCUGGCGGCAUGCCUUACACAUGCAAGUCGAACGGCAGCACGGGUGCUUGCCCCUGGUGGCGAGUGGCGAACGGGUGAGUAAUACAUCGGAACAUGUCCUGUAGUGGGGGAUAGCCCGGCGAAAGCCGGAUUAAUACCGCAUACGAUCUACGGAUGAAAGCGGGGGACCUUCGGGCCUCGCGCUAUAGGGUUGGCCGAUGGCUGAUUAGCUAGUUGGUGGGGUAAAGGCCUACCAAGGCGACGAUCAGUAGCUGGUCUGAGAGGACGACCAGCCACACGGGGACUGAGACACGGCCCAGACUCCUACGGGAGGCAGCAGUGGGGAAUUUUGGACAAUGGGCGAAAGCCUGAUCCAGCAAUGCCGCGUGUGUGAAGAAGGCCUUCGGGUUGUAAAGCACUUUUGUCCGGAAAGAAAUCCUUGGCUCUAAUACAGUCGGGGGAUGACGGUACCGGAAGAAUAAGCACCGGCUAACUACGUG
rnacentral:rRNA from 1 species